AGGUUGAGUGAACUAGCAUAAAACUCUUCGCACUUUUUAUCUCCUCAGUUAAGCGUGCUUGGGCGAGAGUAGUACUAGGAUGGGUGACCUCCUUGGAAGUCCUCGUGUUACACCUC
rfam:Cajanus cajan CcLG02_1054, whole genome shotgun sequence.